GACGUAGGGUCCAAGCGUUGUCCGGAUUUACUGGGCGUAAAGCGCGCGUAGGCGGUCUGUUAAGUGCACAAGUGAAAGCUCCGGGCUCAACUCGGAAAUUGCUUUGCAUACUGGCAGGCUGGAGGGACGCAGAGGUCUGUGGAAUUCCUGGUGUAACGGUGAAAUGUGUUGAUAUCAGGAGGAACACCCAUGGCGAAGGCAGCAGACUGGGCGUUUCCUGACGCUGAGGCGCGAAAGCGUGGGUAGCAAACAGG
rnacentral:rRNA from 2 species